rnacentral:rRNA from 1 species
UACAGAGGGGGCAAGCGUUGUUCGGAAUUACUGGGCGUAAAGGGCGCGUAGGCGGCCUUCUAAGUCGAACGUGAAAUCCCCGGGCUCAACCCAGGAACUGCGUCCAAGACUGGGAGGCUUGAAUCCGGGAGAGGGAUGCGGAAUUCCAGGUGUAGCGGUGAAAUGCGUAGAUAUCUGGAGGAACACCGGUGGCGAAGGCGGCAUCCUGGACCGGUAUUGACACUGAGGCGCGAAAGCCAGGGGAGCAAACGGG